UUGAACGCUGGCGGCAGGCCUAACACAUGCAAGUCGAACGGUAACAGGAAGCAGCUUGCUGCUUCGCUGACAAGUGGCGGACGGGUGAGUAAUGUCUGGGAAGCUGCCUGAUGGAGGGGGAUAACUACUGGAAACGGUAGCUAAUACCGCAUAAUGUCGCAAGACCAAAGAGGGGGACCUUCGGGCCUCUUGCCAUCGGAUGUGCCCAGAUGGGAUUAGCUUGUUGGUGGGGUAACGGCUCACCAAGGCGACGAUCCCUAGCUGGUCUGAGAGGAUGACCAGCCACACUGGAACUGAGACACGGUCCAGACUCCUACGGGAGGCAGCAGUGGGGAAUAUUGCACAAUGGGCGCAAGCCUGAUGCAGCCAUGCCGCGUGUAUGAAGAAGGCCUUCGGGUUGUAAAGUACUUUCAGCGGGGAGGAAGGGAGUAAAGUUAAUACCUUUGCUCAUUGACGUUACCCGCAGAAGAAGCACCGGCUAACUCCGUG
rnacentral:rRNA from 1 species